UACAGAGGUGGCAAGCGUUGUUCGGAAUUACUGGGCGUAAGGGCGCGUAGGCGGCCUUCUAAGUCAGACGUGAAUCCCCGGCUUAACCUGGGAACUGCGUCUGAUACUGGGAGGCUUGAGUAUGGGAGAGGGAUGUAGAAUUCCAGGUGUAGCGGUGAAAUGCGUAGAUAUCUGGAGGAACACCGAUGGCGAAGGCAGGUCUCUGGGCCACUACUGACGCUGAGAAGCGAAAGCGUGGGAGCGAACAGG
rnacentral:rRNA from 1 species